UACAGAGGGUGCAAGCGUUAAUCGGAAUUAUUGGGCGUAAAGGGUGCGUAGGCGGUUUUAUAAGUUGGGUGUGAAAUUCCAGGGCUUAACCUUGGAGCUGCAUUCAAAACUGUAAAGCUAGAGUAUGGGAGAGGCAAGUGGAAUUUCCGGUGUAGCGGUGAAAUGCGUAGAUAUCGGAAGGAACAUCAGUGGCGAAGGCG
rnacentral:rRNA from 1 species